ACGCUUUGGUAAUCGCUGCAAACUUUGUUUGUAGAGGAAAGUCCAUGCUCGCACAGGCUGAGAUGCCUGUAGUGUUCGUGCCUAGCCAAAAAAUAAGCUAGGGCAGCAAAUAUUGCUGACGGCAGGGAAAAUGCCUAAGUCCUUUGGAUAUGGCAUGAAUACCUUGAAAGUGCCACAGUGACGGAGCCUGUUCAGAAAUGACCAGGGUGGAACGAGGUAAACCCCGCGAGCGAGAAACCCAAAUUUUGGUAGGGGAACUUUCUCUGAGGAACUGAACGAGGAGAAGGACAGAUUUUAUAAUCUGUAGAUAGAUGGUUACCGCCUUUAUACGAGGCCUUUAAAGGUCGUUACAGUACAAAGGAACAGAACAUGGCUUAUAAAG
rnacentral:RNase_P_RNA from 1 species